UAGGGAAUAUUGGUUAAUGGGCGAAAGCCUGACCCAGCAACGCCGCGUGGGCGAUGAAGGCCUUCGGGUCGUAAAGCCCUUUUUGAGGGGAUGAGGAAGGACAGUACCCUCAGAAUAAGCCUCGGCUAACUACGUGCCAGCAGCCGCGGUAAAACGUAGGAGGCGAGCGUUAUCCGGAUUUACUGGGCGUAAAGCGCGUGCAGGCGGAUUGGAGAGUUGGAUGUGAAAGCUCCCGGCUUAACUGGGAGAGGUCGUUCAAUACUUCCAGUCUUCAGUGCAGUAGAGGGAAGUGGAAUUCCGGGUGUAGUGGUGAAAUGCGUAGAUAUCCGGAGGAACACCAGUGGCGAAAGCGGCUUCCUGGACUGUAACUGACGCUCAGACGCGAAAGCUAGGGUAGCAAACG
rnacentral:rRNA from 1 species